rnacentral:rRNA from 1 species
AUUGAACGCUGGCGGAAUGCUUUACACAUGCAAGUCGAACGGCAGCACGGACUUCGGUCUGGUGGCGAGUGGCGAACGGGUGAGUAAUGUAUCGGAACGUGCCCAGUCGUGGGGGAUAACGUAGUGAAAAUUACGCUAAUACCGCAUACGAUCUAUGGAUGAAAGCGGGGGAUCGCAAGACCUCGCGCGAUUGGAGCGGCCGAUAUCAGAUUAGGUAGUUGGUGGGGUAAAGGCCCACCAAGCCAACGAUCUGUAGCUGGUCUGAGAGGACGACCAGCCACACUGGAACUGAGCCACGGUCCAGACUCCUACGGGAGGCAUCAGUGGGGAAUUGUGGACAAUGGGCGAAAGCCUGAUCCAGCCAUUCCGCGUGCAGGAUGAAGGCCCUCGGGUUGUAAACUGCUUUUGUACAGAACGAAAAGGUUUCUACUAAUACUAGGAGCUCAUGACGGUACUGUAAGAAUAAGCACCGGCUAACUACGUGCCAGCCGCCGCCGUAA